UACGUAGGGUGCGAGCGUUAAUCGGAAUUACUGGGCGUAAAGAGUGCGUAGGCGGUCCCGCAAGUCCGCUGUGAAAGCCCCGGGCUUAACCUGGGAAUGGCAGUGGAAACUAUGGGACUUGAAUCUGGCAGAGGGGGGUGGAAUGCCACGGUGUAGCGGUGAAAUGCAUAGAUAUGUCACAGAACACCAAAUUGCGAAGGCAGCUUACUAUGGUUUUAUUGACACUUGAGGCACGAAAGCGUGGGGAUC
rnacentral:rRNA from 1 species